rnacentral:SRP_RNA from 1 species
CUGCACUAAUCGGGGAGCUAGCGGUGCCCUGUAACCUGCAAUCCGCUACAGCAGGGAUGAAUUCCCAACCGAGGGUUGCUUCUGUGUCGUCUGACCCCGGUAAGCAGCGUUGACGAUCCGGUCCUGCGCAACGGAAACCCGUGAACCAUGUCAGGCGGGGAACCGAGCAGCAUUAAGCGGUGCUUUUCGUGUGCCGCGGGGGAGCCGGGUUCGAGCCGGCUGCCGGCGUAACGGACAUGGGGGGAGUUCCAAAGAAGGGUGUGCAG